ACUCCUACGGGAGGCAGCAGUGGGGAAUAUUGGACAAUGGGCGCAAGCCUGAUCCAGCCAUGCCGCGUGAGUGAUGAAGGCCCUAGGGUUGUAAAGCUCUUUCACCGGUGAAGAUAAUGACGGUAACCGGAGAAGAAGCCCCGGCUAACUUCGUGCCAGCAGCCGCGGUAAUACGAAGGGGGCUAGCGUUGUUCGGAUUUACUGGGCGUAAAGCGCACGUAGGCGGACUAUUAAGUCAGGGGUGAAAUCCCGGGGCUCAACCCCGGAACUGCCAUUGAUACUGGUAGUCUUGAGUUCGAGAGAGGUGAGUGGAAUUCCGAGUGUAGAGGUGAAAUUCGUAGAUAUUCGGAGGAACACCAGUGGCGAAGGCGGCUCACUGGCUCGAUACUGACGCUGAGGUGCGAAAGCGUGGGGAGCAAACAGGAUUAGAAACCCCAGUAGUCCCAUG
rnacentral:rRNA from 1 species